AACGAACGCUGGCGGCAGGCUUAACACAUGCAAGUCGAGCGCCCCGCAAGGGGAGCGGCAGACGGGUGAGUAACGCGUGGGAAUCUACCCAUCUCUACGGAAUAACGCAUGGAAACGUGUGCUAAUACCGUAUACGUCCUUCGGGAGAAAGAUUUAUCGGAGAUGGAUGAGCCCGCGUUGGAUUAGCUAGUUGGUGGGGUAAAGGCCUACCAAGGCGACGAUACAUAGCUGGGCUGAGAGGAUGAUCAGCCACACGGGGACUGAGACACGGCCCAGACUCCUACGGGAGGCAGCAGUGGGGAAUAUUGGACAAUGGGCGCAAGCCUGAUCCAGCCAUGCCGCGUGAGUGAUGAAGGCCCUAGGGUUGUAAAGCUCUUUCACCGGUGAAGAUAAUGACGGUAACCGGAGAAGAAGCCCCGGCUAACUUCGUGCCAGCCGCCGCGGUAAUAC
rnacentral:rRNA from 1 species